AGUGAACGCUGGCGGCAGGCUUAACACAUGCAAGUCGAGCGAGAAAGUGGCUUCGGUCAUGAGUAAAGCGGCAAACGGGUGAGUAACGCGUGGGGAUUUCCCUUCUAGUCUUGGAUAGCCCCGGGAAACUGGGAUUAAUACAAGGUAUUAUCUACGGAUGAAAGAUUUAUCGCUAGAAGAUAAGCCCGCGUGAGAUUAGCUAGUUGGUGAGGUAAUGGCUCACCAAGGCAACGAUCUCUAGUUGGUCUGAGAGGAUGAUCAACCACACUGGAACUGAGACACGGUCCAGACUCCUACGGGAGGCAGCGGUGAGGAAUAUUGGACAAUGGGGGAAACCCUGAUCCAGCCAUGCCGCGUGAGUGAUGAAGGCCUUCGGGUUGUAAAACUCUUUAAGUGGGGAAAAUAAUGAUUGUACCCACAGAAUAAGCCACGGCAAACUUCGUGCCAGCCGCCGCGGUAA
rnacentral:rRNA from 1 species